UGGGCACAAAGAAAGAUAAAAUAAUAAUAAAAAAACUGAAAACAAAUAUUUAAAAAAAUGAGUUAAUCCAGGUUUGUGGCACAUAACACAAUAAAAAAUUAUAAAAAAUUUUGAAUGCAUGGAAACCAAAUAUUAAAAAUUGUGAGAAACCUCGCUGUCUUCCACCUUGCCUUUGGUUAUUUUAUUUUUUGGUUUUGCUCUGCUUUUUGUCUUCCACGUGUUGAUCAUCAGGGGAUUUUAUGCUGAAAGGGCUUCUCCCUUUAUCUUUCAUUUUUAUCUCUUUCUUUCCUCAAUUUUUCCUUUGCUUUUUCUGCUUCUUUCUUUCGCGUUUUAGCAAACGGUGCUUCGUCUUUUUUUCGUUUGUGUGUCAUCAUUGUUAUUAUGGGUGCAUGAUUUGGUUAUGUUUUGUAUUUUUAAGAAAUGGUGUUGUUCGUUUUUCCAAGGUGUUGUGUUGCCAUUUUCGCGCUGGUUCUACUUCAGGGUAAAUGAAAAAUACAGCUCCAACUCCUAUCGAUAAAUUACAAUCGUCUAUAAAGCUAGCGAAGUUAAGAGUCCGAAUUUGCAGGAUAUGAAAACCAUCGAUUCCCGGAACUGCUCAAACAUAAGCAAAGCAGUGAAUCUGAAGAAAUUUCAGAAGUUGAUCCAAGAGAAUGUGAUGAGGUUCCGAUCAAGUUAUUAAAAAAAAAAAAAAAUCACUUCCUACUCAGGCAAAGCCACACAACAGCACUAGAAACAAUGAUUAGGUUGUUUUAUCCAUGACAACAAGGGCUGAAGACACAUUUCACUACUCUGAUCAAGAAUGUUUACUGUGUUUUGUUUAUCUAUAUUAAAUCAUGUUUAACAUGUUUAAAAACCUGUACAUAUCUUUUUUUGCCCAAAACUCAACAAUAUUUUUUGCAUCCCCAUACAACAGCAUCUCCACAUUUUUUGUAUGCAAAAGCUGGAACACACUAUAUUAGAUGGGGUUAUUAGAAGAAAUUUAGUUAUUAUAAUGUUUUUUGUAUCUUUAUACCAGGAAUUUCUAUUUUUUGUAACUGAAUGUAAUCCUCCUGGUCCAGAAAUACAUACAAUUGCUACAAUAUAA